rnacentral:rRNA from 1 species
UACGUAGGUGGCAAGCGUUGUCCGGAUUUACUGGGCGUAAAGAGCGCGCAGGCGGUCGUUCAAGUCGCGUGUGAAAGCCCCCGGCUCAACUGGGGAGGGUCACGCGAUACUGAUCGACUCGAAGGCAGGAGAGGGUAGUGGAAUUCCCGGUGUAGUGGUGAAAUGCGUAGAUAUCAGGAGGAACAUCGGCGGUGUAGACGGCUUUCUGGACCGUAGCUGACGCUGAGACACGAAAGCGUGGGUAGCAAACAGG